rnacentral:misc_RNA from 1 species
UUUCCGUAGGUGAACCUGCGGAAGGAUCAUUCAUAAUAAAGUGUUUUAUGGCACUUUUUAAAAAUCCAUAUCCACCUUGUGUGCAAUGUUAGAUCUCGUCAAUCUUGGCGAGAUUUUUAUACAUCAACUCAUUCUUUAACUAAUUUGUCUGAAAAAUAUUAUGUAUACUUAAUUCAAAAUACAACUUUCAACAACGGAUCUCUUGGUUCCG